GUACACGCUGUGACUAGCAUAUCAAUAAGCGGAGGAAAAGAAACUAACAAGGAUUCCCUUAGUAACGGCGAGUGAAGCGGGAAGAGCUCAAAUUUGAAAUCUUCAAGGUUUUACCUUGUACGAAUUGUAGUUUAAAGAAGUGUUUUCUGCUGAAGUUUUGGUAAAAGUUCUUUGGAAUAGGACAUCAUAGAGGGUGAGAAUCCCGUCUAUGAUUGCGAUUUGUAGCUUUGUGAUACACUUUCAAAGAGUCGGGUUGUUUGGGAAUGCAGCCCAAAACGGGAGGUAAAUUUCUUCUAAGGCUAAAUAUUGGCGAGAGACCGAUAGCGAACAAGUACCGUGAGGGAAAGAUGAAAAGAACUUUGAAAAGAGAGUUAAAUAGUACGUGAAAUUGUCAAAAGGGAAGCGUUUAACACCAGUGUUGUUUUCUGAAAAUCAACCUCUGUUAGCUUUAUGCAUGUUUGUUUAGACCUAAUCAGCUAUCUUGCAUGUUCUAUUGUUUGCAGUGGUGCACUUUUCAGUUUACAGGUCAACAUCAGUUUUUUUUACCGUAAAAAAGUUAAAGAAAGGUAGCUCAUGGCUCCGGUCGUGAGUGUUAUAGUCUUUUUCCUAUGCGGUAGGAGAGACUGAGGUCUGCAGUGUAGGCUAUUUGGCUAGAUACUCAGGUGCUAUGUGAUACCAUUUCAUAAACAACUUGUUGAUUAUGUUUUGUCUAUUGCAUACUCGCUUGUACUAUCAUACCUACGCUUAGGAUGUUGAGUAGCGACAUACGCAC
rnacentral:rRNA from 1 species